rnacentral:rRNA from 1 species
GACGAACGCUGGCGGCGUGCUUAACACAUGCAAGUCGAACGAUGAAGCUCCUGCUUGCAGGGGUGGAUUAGUGGCGAACGGGUGAGUAACACGUGAGUAACCUGCCCCUGACUGUGGGAUAAGCCCGGGAAACUGGGUCUAAUACCGCAUAUGACACCUGGCCGCAUGGUCUGGGUGUGGAAAGUUUUUCGGUUGGGGAUGGGCUCGCGGCCUAUCAGCUUGUUGGUGGGGUAACGGCCCACCAAGGCGACGACGGGUAGCCGGCCUGAGAGGGCGACCGGCCACACUGGGACUGAGACACGGCCCAGACUCCUACGGGAGGCAGCAGUGGGGAAUAUUGCACAAUGGGGGAAACCCUGAUGCAGCGACGCCGCGUGAGGGAUGACGGCCUUCGGGUUGUAAACCUCUUUCAGUAGGGAAGAAGCCUUCGGGUGACGGUACCUGCAGAAGAAGUACCGGCUAACUACGUGCCAGCAGCCGCGGUAAUACGUAGGGUACAAGCGUUGUCCGGAAUUAUUGGGCGUAAAGAGCUCGUAGGCGGUUCGUCGCGUCUGCUGUGGAAACGCAAGGCUCAACCUUGCGCGUGCAGUGGGUACGGGCGGACUAGAGUGCAGUAGGGGAGUCUGGAAUUCCUGGUGUAGCGGUGAAAUGCGCAGAUAUCAGGAGGAACACCGGUGGCGAAGGCGGGACUCUGGGCUGUAACUGACGCUGAGGAGCGAAAGCAUGGGGAGCGAACAGGAUUAGAUACCCUGGUAGUCCAUGCCGUAAACGUUGGGCACUAGGUGUGGGGCUCAUUCCACGAGUUCCGCGCCGCAGCUAACGCAUUAAGUGCCCCGCCUGGGGAGUACGGCCGCAAGGCUAAAACUCAAAGGAAUUGACGGGGCCCGCACAGCGGCGGAGCAUGCGGAUUAAUUCGAUGCAACGCGAAGAACCUUACCAAGGCUUGACAUACACUGGAAUGUGCCAGAGAUGGUUCAGCCCUUUUGGGCUGGUGUACAGGUGGUGCAUGGUUGUCGUCAGCUCGUGUCGUGAGAUGUUGGGUUAAGUCCCGCAACGAGCGCAACCCUCGUUCUAUGUUGCCAGCGCGUGAUGGUGGGAACUCAUAGGAGACUGCCGGGGUCAACUCGGAGGAAGGUGGGGAUGACGUCAAAUCAUCAUGCCCUUUAUGUCUUGGG